CAACCAUGUGAGGUGUUAUUUCUACAGGAUGGUUGGCAAAAUUGGGAUUCAAAAAUCUUCAGCCACUGGCCCUUGCAUGUGGUGGAGCUGGGAUGAAAGUCCAGACCUGGGGACGUUGCUCCCUGGGUCCACUCUGUUGCUACUGGCAGGGUGGAGGGAAGGCUCACCAUGGGAGCCCUGCAAUGGCCUGCGGGCACUCCCAUUGCUUCACUGAGUGGAGGAAAGGAGGCUGUACAGGACGCACAGUGGCAUCUGCUUCUGGGGCAGCUUCAGGAAGCUUCCGGUCAUGGUGGAAGGCAAAGGGGGAGCAGGUAAGAAGAUGGUAUUGUAGUAGCCUCCACUGGGUGGACUUCUGGAAGGCGCAAGCGGCCCCUGAAGGGCCCUGGAGCCAUUUUAGAAUCGCUCAUAAUAAAACUGGAUGGAAACACAACAGAGUAUGUAAUUGAGUUCCUCGACUUCACAGAUGAGGAGACCGAGGGCCGUUCAACUAAGAUCACGCGGGUAGAAAGUGGCUGUCUUGUGGCUGUCCCGUGAUUCAACAUAGAUUUUUGGCAUCUAGUUUGGUGGCUUUUUUUUCUACCACACUUCUCAUCUGCCUUACGCCCGGCAGCCCUGAGCCUGACACGCCUACAGACUGAAGGAUGGAGGAGAGACAGGCUUGCAUCCUGCAGAGUCUAGCAGAGGCCCUGGGUCACUUUGCUUCCCAGAGGCACAUCCGAUUUCCCAUACUUGUUGUAAGAGAAACUAAAGUCGUCCAGUUCCAGUGGUGCUUCAGAGCCCAACAGACUCCCCCAGCGUGGCCAAUAUUCAGCUGGCCUGGGAUCUUCUGGGCGGUGCCACUGUGCUAGGCUGCAGACCUGACUUUUUGGCCGAAAAGACAAAAGAUGGUCUCUUCCACUCAUUAGUUAUGAGAGUUCUGACAACCCAUGUAACUUCUAUGAGCCCCCGUGUUCUUAUCUGUACAAUAAUCUAUACUCUUCUUACAUCAAUUAGUCGCUAGAACAAAAAUAAAAUGUCUGCUAUGAAAAGUCCA
rnacentral:lncRNA from 10 species